rnacentral:rRNA from 1 species
GACGAACCGUGCGAACGUUAUUCGGAAUCACUGGGCUUAAAGCGCGUGUAGGCGGGCCGGCACGUCGGUCGCUGAAAUCCCCCGGCUCAACCGGGGAAGUGGCGCCGAUACGACCGGCCUGGAGGGGGGUAGGGGGGCGCUGGAACUCACGGUGGAGCGGUGAAAUGCGUUGAGAUCGUGAGGAACGCCCGCGGCGAAAGCGAGCGCCUGGACCCUUUCUGACGCUGGAGACGCGAAAGCCAGGGGAGCGAACGGG